CCCGCCGGGGCGCCCAGGACCAGCGCAGCGGAUCAGGGCCCCUCCCGGCCCCCGCGCUGCCCCCGUCCCGAGUCUGUGUUCCCGGUGACGUUGUUCCACGAAGCCGUUGCCUGGUUUCUAGGGGGAUCACGUAGGGGCCACCUCUUCCCUUCCCUUUACCCGCAAACUUUCAGCUACCAUAAAUUCAUGCAACAUCAGCACUAGCAGGGGCCUUGGAGACCUAGCAUGAAAUCACGGAAUACUGACUUUUGUGAGAUCAUAGAAUGCCAGCCUGGAAAUAGCCUGACCUGGUUUACCGUCGGAGCGGCUAAGGGGCCGAGGAGGGCGACCUGGCCAUCACUGUCACACAACCAUAGCGUGUGGUCCUACAACUGGAGACUUGGGACCUCCGGGGUCUGGGAGUCUGGUCUCUCCCCAUGUGCUCCUGAUCCUAUGGAAGGUAUCCCAGGCAUAAAUUUGUACAAUUGUGGGUGGGACCCUCAUAAGAUAUGUCCCUGGAAGAAGCUGGCCAUAUGAAGACAAGGAGGACACCAUGUGAUGACAGAGGAGUGGAGUGAUGCAUCUCUAAGCCAAGGAAGUCCAGGGGCUCUCGAAAGCCGGGAGCAGGAGGGAACAGAUUCUCCUUUAGAGCUCUCAGAAGACACCAGUCCUGCUGACACCUUGACUUUGGACUUCUAGCUUCAGAACAGACAGGAAGUCAUCUGGACAAAACAGCCCAAACACUAAAUUUGGCUGGAUUUGUAUUAUUUCCUGAAUGUUGAGGGUUCAGCUGCCAAGAGAUGGAUUGUGGAUGGAAUCUUCCAUCGUGGAUCCAGCUUCUGGAGGCUAAAAAAAGGAAAGAUAAAAGAAGGCAGAAGAACUAUCGUGGAGAGCCUGGGAAUGUUCAAAAUCGAUUUCAGAAUGGGCAGCAUUUUCAAGGAACAAGAAGAUAGAAAGGAUGAGUGAAUGAGUUCUGGAAAUGGAAAAUGAGAAGUGGACACAGAUAAAACAUUCAGACAUAUUUAAAAAUUAGUAAUGUUUCUCAAUCGAUGGACUAAGUACAUGCAAUCAGUUUUUGCCCCUCCAGUCAAAAGGAGGCAGCCUAAUCUCAUGGGAGGAGGGUAAGUGGGUUUUAGGAGCUCCUAUUUUUCAUGCUUCCUGAUCUGUCCUUGUCCAGUUGGACCUGGAUGCUGGGAAGGCCUCACAAAAUCAGUCGGUGUCUUGCUUCCUAGCAGAAUUGCCCCUUAACUAUGUGAAACAAUAUCCCUAAUGCUAAAAAUAACCAGUGUCUGAGUCCAAGACUUCCAUGUUGGUCAUCUUGUGUACCUCGUAGACCCGGGAGUCCUCCUCUCACUCAUCUCUAAUGACAUAGAGUGUCAUCAAGCCUAGCCAAAGUUGCUUUCUUGAUAACUGUUCCUUGUAUACAACCUCCGAUGUAGUUAUUUACUUGCCGAGUGUAACGCUGACUUUGUACCAUGUCUCCGUGAGACAAAAACUGUGGUACACUUUUCUCAUAGGAGAUGUUUUGUUGUUUUAUUUAUGAGGGAAGGAACAAAAUGAGGCAAAAAUCCCAAAUCAUUCUAUGAGUAAAUUACUUCUCUGAUAGAAAAUAGGGUCCUAGUCAUAACUAUAACUAGCCACAUAGUUUUAUUCAAGGCAUUUCACUUUGCUGGGCUUCAGUUUCUCCAUUUGGAUGAUGAAUGUGCAAAUGUGCAUAUGAAUGUGCAUACAGUGGUAUAUUAUGGGAACAAAGCAGAAAUAGUAAAUUGGGAAGGAAUCUUAGCUGAAUAUGUUGAAGCACAUGGAUAUGGGAUAUUUAUAUUAAUUUGGAUUCUGUUUUCACUUCCAAGACUGAUUCUUUUUGAGUCCUGAGGCAUUUAUUCAGUCUCUGCAUUCAUCCAUUCAUUGUUCACUCAUUCACUUAUUCAUUCAGUAAACAUUUGCUGUGUAUUAUAUGUCAGGCACUAUCCUAACCUCUGAGGAUACAAGAUAUCUGUCUGUCUGUCUAUCUAUCUAUGUAUCAAAGCAGGGCUCCUGACUUCAGAAAGCCUACAUUUCAGUGGGAAAGGUGGACAAUAAAUACAUAAGCAAAUAAGAUAUAAGAAAAUUGCAAAUAGUGAAAAAGUGGUUAAGAAGGAAAGAGAAAGGGUUAUGCAAUUGAAGGUCGUGGAGACCAAUGCUUGCAGGUAGAUGCUUAUAGGGAUACCAUCUGAGCUGAGACUUGACAAAUGACAUGCCAGACUUAAGCAUCUAAGCCUGACAAUGUAGAACAGUUAUUCACAUUAGUAAUCCUAGUAAUUUGUAAGUGCAAAGAUGACCUGUUUAGACUGUUUCCCGUGCACCAGUAACACGCUGUACAAAAUGGGCAAAAUGCCCUCAGACAGGAUAAUACAGAUGUCAGCCUCAAGGUUUUAGAUGUCUAUGGCCUCCUCCAAUAGGGUUGGUCCUGCCCAUUACCAAGUUAAGUUUAAAAAUAAAAUGGUCGGUUAUUUUACCAGCAAAAGUGGGUUUCUUUGGGAAUGACAGAGAAUCACAGUCCAGGACAAGCCAUCUACUGCAAAACCGUGGACAAGUCCUGAGAAAAAGGAGAAGAAUUCUCUUUUAUGGAGGAAAGGGGGAAGUUGGGAGGGCUGUUAAAAAUCAAGAAUCCAUUGGAGGGCACCUGGGUGGCUCAGUGGCUGAGAGUCGGCCUUUGGCUCAGGUCGUGAUCCCCGCAUCAGGGCCCCUGCAUGGAGCCUGCUUCUCCCUCUGCCUGUGUCUCUGCCUCUCUCUGUGUGU